rnacentral:misc_RNA from 1 species
AACUGGGUUUAAAGGAGGUUUUGGUACCAAUUCAUUUAUGGUUGGUGAAGACUAUGGCAUGUUGGCUAAGUCAGUGCCAAUACAUGUAAGGGUUGCAAAGCCAGUAAGAUUGGCGCCCAUGAUGAAGAACGUCAAUGAAGGGAAGGGUCUUUUUGCACCUAUUGUCGUUGUCACUCGCAACAUAAUUGGCAAGAAAAGGUUUAACCAGUUUAGAGGCAAAGCAAUUUCCUUACACUCUCAGGUGAUUAAUGAAUUCUGCAAAUCAAUAGGAGCAGACUCGAAACAAAGGCAAGGACUGAUCAGGUUAGCCAAGAAGAAUGGAGAAAGACUUGGAUUCCUCGCUUGAGGAAAGGCUAUCAUCACCAUUUCCAUUUGAGAAGCUUCAAAUCCAUAUCUUAUUUUGUUAAAAGACUUUGAGAUGUAAAAGAUCUCUUCAUAUGCGUACCUUUGAACCAUAAUGUUCAUUAUAUUCCCACAUCAUUAGUCAUUUUAGUUGUAAUAAUACUUUGUCCUCAAAUUAAAGAACUAUUACUAUU